UNCGGCCUGCCCACUGACAUUGUUGAAGGGCCGCGGUAUUUUGACCGUGCAAAGGUAGCAUAAUAAUUAGUUCUUUAAUUGUGAACUGGUAUGAAUGGUUUGACGAAGUAUAAACUGUCUUUCAUUGAUUAUUGUUUGAAUUUAGUGUUUGAGUAAGAAUACUUAAAUUUUUUUAUGGGACGAGAAGACCCUAUAGAGUUUCACAUAGGAAUUUCUUUUUUGUUUGUAUUUUUUAUUGAUUUUUCUGUGUUUUGUUGGGGUGAUGAGAAGUUAUAAUAAACUCUUCUUUAAUUUUAUUACACUUAUUUGUGGUUAUUUGUAUGGUCCUUUAUUAUUGAUUAUAAGAUUAAAUUACC
rnacentral:rRNA from 1 species